CCUACGGGAGGCAGCAGUAGGGAAUCUUCCGCAAUGGGCGAAAGCCUGACGGAGCAACGCCGCGUGAGUGAUGAAGGUCUUCGGAUCGUAAAACUCUGUUAUCAGGGAAGAACAAAUGUGUAAGUAACUGUGCACAUCUUGACGGUACCUGAUCAGAAAGCCACGGCUAACUACGUGCCAGCAGCCGCGGUAAUACGUAGGUGGCAAGCGUUAUCCGGAAUUAUUGGGCGUAAAGCGCGCGUAGGCGGCUUUUUAAGUCUGAUGUGAAAGCCCACGGCUCGACCGUGGAGGGUCAUUGGAAACUGGAAAACUUGAGUGCAGAAGAGGAAAGUGGAAUUCCAUGUGUAGCGGUGAAAUGCGCAGAGAUAUGGAGGAACACCAGUGGCGAAGGCGACUUUCUGGUCUGUAACUGACGCUGAUGUGCGAAAGCGUGGGGAUCAAACAGGAUUAGAUACCCUGUAGUCCACGCCGUAAACGAUGAGUGCUAAGUGUUAGGGGGUUUCCGCCCCUUAGUGCUGCAGCUAACGCAUUAAGCACUCCGCCUGGGGAGUACGACCGCAAGGU
rnacentral:rRNA from 1 species